UGAUUUUAUUAUUAGACGUGAAGCAGGCUCGAAACCAAUAGAACCACAAGCCAUUUUUGUCAAAAAAAAUAAAGCCUACGUGUUAUUUGAUACGUUUGAAAACGCCUAUGCUAUUUGGGAAAGAAUCAUAUCGUCCCCAGAAACAGUGGUUGGUAUCUUACCCGAAUACCUUGAAGAUGCUACCUUAAAAACGGUCAAUGCAACGGACCAGUUACCAGGGGAAGACCCGGCCGAAUUGAAAAUCUCCAAAAUCACAGACUCAUACGACACAACCCUGUACAUUAAACCCUGGAACCAUGAAAGGGUUAUAAAACAGUUUCAGGGCAGUAAAAUCGUCCCAAAAGGUAGCAUUACAGAAUACAGAGUGGAAACAAAUAAUAACUGUAGUGCCGCUGUGACGACAGUGACCUUCAAAUUCAAGACAUUGGAAAAUAUUCUAAUCGCCUAUCAGAAAAUAAAACGUUUCCUGAAAGAUGAUGGGAUGACUGCUGAAGCGACCAUCACUCCGCAAUUAUUGUCAAAUCCUGGACAAUGUGAAAGGUUUCUGGGGGAUCCGCCCGACGACCCGCCAAAGGACUAAUCUCCACUUUCUUCUCGUUAUAAGAUAACAAUUAUUUAAUUUUCAAUUACAUAAUUUUCAUCCGCAUUUAAUUCAUUUUUGCUUUUUUUUUAAAUUUUUAAUUCGAAUUCAUUUUUAUUUUCUACUAUGUACUUAUUGAGUAGGUAUCUAUUAUAUUCCCAUUUUAGUU